GCCGAAGUGGUGGAAUUGGCAGACACGCAUGGUUCAGGACCAUGUGCCCGACAGGGUAUGGGGGUUCGAGUCCCCCCUUCGGCA
rnacentral:tRNA from 1 species